GCGAAUACCGGAGAAUGUUAUCACGGGAGACACACGGCGGGUGCUAACGUCCGUCGUGAAGAGGGAAACAACCCAGACCGCCAGCUAAGGUCCCAAAGUCAUGGUUAAGUGGGAAACGAUGUGGGAAGGCCCAGACAGCCAGGAUGUUGGCUUAGAAGCAGCCAUCAUUUAAAGAAAGCGUAAUAGCUCACUGGUCGAGUCGGCCUGCGCGGAAGAUGUAACGGGGCUAAACCAUGCACCGAAGCUGCGGCAGCGACGCUGAUGCGUUGUUGGGUAGGGGAGCGUUCUGUAAGCCUGUGAAGGUGUGUCGUGAGGCAUGCUGGAGGUAUCAGAAGUGCGAAUGCUGACAUAAGUAACGAUAAAGCGGGUGAAAAGCCCGCUCGCCGGAAGACCAAGGGUUCCUGUCCAACGUUAAUCGGGGCAGGGUGAGUCGACCCCUAAGGCGAGGCCGAAAGGCGUAGUCGAUGGGAAACGGGUUAAUAUUCCCGUACUUGGUGUUACUGCGAAGGGGGGACGGAGAAGGCUAUGUUGGCCGGGCGACGGUUGUCCCGGUUUAAGCGUGUAGGUGUGUGUUCCAGGUAAAUCCGGUUCACUUUAACACUGAGGCGUGAUGACGAGGCACUACGGUGCUGAAGCAACAAAUGCCCUGCUUCCAGGAAAAGCCUCUAAGCAUCAGGUAACAUCAAAUCGUACCCCAAACCGACACAGGUGGUCAGGUAGAGAAUACCAAGGCGCUUGAGAGAACUCGGGUGAAGGAACUAGGCAAAAUGGUGCCGUAACUUCGGGAGAAGGCACGCUGACACGUAGGUGAAGUGAUUUACUCAUGGAGCUGAAGUCAGUCGAAGAUACCAGCUGGCUGCAACUGUUUAUUAAAAACACAGCACUGUGCAAACACGAAAGUGGACGUAUACGGUGUGACGCCUGCCCGGUGCCGGAAGGUUAAUUGAUGGGGUCAGCGCAAGCGAAGCUCCUGAUCGAAGCCCCGGUAAACGGCGGCCGUAACUAUAACGGUCCUAAGGUAGCGAAAUUCCUUGUCGGGUAAGUUCCGACCUGCACGAAUGGCGUAAUGAUGGCCAGGCUGUCUCCACCCGAGACUCAGUGAAAUUGAACUCGCUGUGAAGAUGCAGUGUACCCGCGGCAAGACGGAAAGACCCCGUGAACCUUUACUAUAGCUUGACACUGAACAUUGAGCCUUGAUGUGUAGGAUAGGUGGGAGGCUUUGAAGCGUGGACGCCAGUCUGCGUGGAGCCGACCUUGAAAUACCACCCUUUAAUGUUUGAUGUUCUAACGUGGACCCGUGAUCCGGGUUGCGGACAGUGUCUGGUGGGUAGUUUGACUGGGGCGGUCUCCUCCUAAAGAGUAACGGAGGAGCACGAAGGUUGGCUAAUCCUGGUCGGACAUCAGGAGGUUAGUGCAAUGGCAUAAGCCAGCUUGACUGCGAGCGUGACGGCGCGAGCAGGUGCGAAAGCAGGUCAUAGUGAUCCGGUGGUUCUGAAUGGAAGGGCCAUCGCUCAACGGAUAAAAGGUACUCCGGGGAUAACAGGCUGAUACCGCCCAAGAGUUCAUAUCGACGGCGGUGUUUGGCACCUCGAUGUCGGCUCAUCACAUCCUGGGGCUGAAGUAGGUCCCAAGGGUAUGGCUGUUCGCCAUUUAAAGUGGUACGCGAGCUGGGUUUAGAACGUCGUGAGACAGUUCGGUCCCUAUCUGCCGUGGGCGCUGGAGAACUGAGGGGGGCUGCUCCUAGUACGAGAGGACCGGAGUGGACGCAUCACUGGUGUUCGGGUUGUCAUGCCAAUGGCACUGCCCGGUAGCUAAAUGCGGAAGAGAUAAGUGCUGAAAGCAUCUAAGCACGAAACUUGCCCCGA
rnacentral:rRNA from 1 species